GGAAGUAAAAGCGUAACAAGGUUACCGUAGGUGAACCUGCGGAAGGAUCAUUAUUGUAUAACCGAGGUGCGAGGGCUGUCGCUGACCCGAAAGGUCGUGCACGCCCGAGUGCCCUCACACACAUCCAUCUCACCCCUAUGUGCACCACCGCGUGGGUCCCCCUUUGGCUUGUUCGGAGGGGGGCUUACGUUUUCACACAAACUUUGUAUGCAGUGUAGAAUGUAUUUUUUGUUUUUGCGAUCACGCAAUCAAUACAACUUUCAACAACGGAUCUCUUGGCUCUC
rnacentral:misc_RNA from 1 species